CGGAAUUAUUGGGCGUAAAGCGCGCGCAGGCGGCCGGUUAAGUCAGGUGUGAAAGGCUGCGGCUCAACCGCAGAGCUGCAUCUGAAACUGGUCGGCUUGAGUGCAGGAGAGGGGAGCGGAAUUCCCGGUGUAGCGGUGGAAUGCGUAGAGAUCGGGAGGAACACCAGUGGCGAAGGCGGCUCUCUGGUCUGUAACUGACGCUGAGGCGCGAAAGCGUGGGGAGCGAACAGGAUUAGAUACCCUGGUAGUCCACGCCGUAAACGAUGAGUGCUAAGUGUUGGAGGGUUUCCGCCCUUCAGUGCUGCAGCUAACGCAUUAAGCACUCCGCCUGGGGAGUACGGUCGCAAGACUGAAACUCAAAGGAAUUGACGGGGGCCCGCACAAGCGGUGGAGCAUGUGGUUUAAUUCGAAGCAACGCGAAGAACCUUACCAGGUCUUGACAUCCUCUGACAAUCCUGGAGACAGGACGUUCCCCUUCGGGGGACAGAGUGACAGGUGGUGCAUGGUUGUCGUCAGCUCGUGUCGUGAGAUGUUGGGUUAAGUCCCGCAACGAGCGCAACCCUUGAUCUUAGUUGCCAGCAUUUAGUUGGGCACUCUAAGGUGACUGCCGGUGACAAACCGGAGGAAGGUGGGGAUGACGUCAAAUCAUCAUGCCCCUUAUGACCUGGGCUACACACGUGCUACAAUGGAUGGUACAAAGGGCUGCAAGACCGCGAGGUUUAGCCAAUCCCAUAAAACCAUUCUCAGUUCGGAUUGUAGGCUGCAAC
rnacentral:rRNA from 1 species